UACGAAGGGGGCUAGCGUUGUUCGGAUUUACUGGGCGUAAAGCGCACGUAGGCGGAUCUUUAAGUCAGAGGUGAAAUCCCAAGGCUCAACCUUGGAACUGCCUUUGAUACUGGGGAUCUCGAGUUCGGGAGAGGUGAGUGGAACUGCGAGUGUAGAGGUGAAAUUCGUAGAUAUUCGCAAGAACACCAGUGGCGAAGGCGGCUCACUGGCCCGAUACUGACGCUGAGGUGCGAAAGCGUGGGGAGCAAACAGG
rnacentral:rRNA from 1 species